AUACAAAGCCUGGGCCCGUGUGGGACGCACAUGGUCCUGUUCGUACUCCAGGAUGGCGGCGUAAAGGGCCCGCUGCUCCCGUUCCUCCGGGGUCAGGGCGACUUGGCUGCAAAACCUCCUGGGGAGAAAGGCAUGCGGUGGGUCCCGGGGCCAGGCCCUCCCCGCAGCGGCCCCAGGGGCGGGCAGGAGUCCCACCUGUUGGCGGCCUCCUGGAGCCGCAGCCGGCGCUCCUCCAUCUUUCUCUGAAGCUGGGUGCAGAGUCAAGGCGCCGAGCGUCGGAUCUGAGCGGGCCCUCGGUUCCCAACCCCGUCCCACACCCGGAGAGGCCGAGACGUCCCAGGGACCCCCCUCAGUGAGGGGCUGUCCCCAGGGAGGCCUCCUCCAGUGGCGUCAGCUCUCUGGAAAUGUGACAAGCUGCUGUCUAGACCCCAGGAGGCCCAGUGGUGUCUGGCCACCAGAGGAGCCUCUCUCAUCCUCUCGGAUUGCUCUGAGGCCAGGAGCUUUGUGACUCUGCCCCUUGAAGCUUCUGGAAGAUCUCGGGUGGCAGAAAAGGAGAGAGCUUUCCCCCUUCGUCGGAGUAUACACGGCGGUGUCGGCCGGCAGGCUGGGGGAUGGGAGCAGCUGCAGGCAUGGUUGGCUUCAGGCGUGUUUUCCCUGCAAGCCAUUGGUAGCCAGGGGUCAAGCGGUGGGCCACAUCCCACAGAGGAGACGCGAGCUUGGGGGAUGACUCACGAGAGCCACCUACUGCAGGAGACCCACCAAGCUUGGCGGCCGUUGACUGGGCCCUCUCCAGACACUGCUGUGCUAGCUUCAGCAUCUUGGAGGUGUCGGCGGGUGCAGUUUCCCCAGCUUCUGGUGGGGGACAAGGAGGCUGGUCACAGGCGGCUCUAUCACUGCUACCCACUGCUGAGAUAAAAUGAGGCAACGGAAAAGCCAGGCAAGCCCACUGCCCCCCGACCCCUCACUGACCCCGGGCAAACCCACUGCCCCCGACCCCUCACUGACCCUGGGCAAGCCCACUGCCCCCUGACCCCUCACUGACCCUGGGCAAGCCCACUGCCCCCCGACCCCUCACUGACCCCGGGCAAGCCCACUGCCCCCCGACCCCUCACUGACCCCGGACAAGCUAACUGCCCCCCUCACCACCCCUCACUGACCCCGGACAAGCCCACUGCCCCCCGACCCCUCACUGACCCCGGACAAGCCCACUGCCCCCUGACCCCUCACUGACCCCGGGCAAGCCCACUGCCCCCCGACCCCUCACUGACCCCGGGCAAGCCCACUGCCCCCCGACCCCUCACUGACCCCGGACAAGCUAACUGCCCCCCUCACCACCCCUCACUGACCCCGGACAAGCCCACUGCCCCCCGACCCCUCACUGACCCCGGGCAAGCCCACUGCCCCCCUCACCACCCCUCACUGACCCCGGACAAGCCCACUGCCCCCCGACCCCUCACUGACCCCGGGCAAGCCCACUGCCCCCCGACCCCUCACUGACCCCGGGCAAGCCCACUGCCCCCAGACCCCUCACUGACCCCGGGCAAGCCCACUGCCCCCCGACCCCUCACUCACCCUGGACAAGCCGACUGUUCCUCAUGGACCCCAGGCAAGCCCCCCACCAAGUCAUCUCUAAUCAUCUGUUCUGGUUUUGCCUCCUGAGCCUGCUAAGUCUGUGUGCCCCUCAUGAAGGCCUGUCAGAGCCUCGAUCCUAAAUAGCCUUUACUGCUCACUCGGCUUCACUUGCAACUGCAGGCCUCUGGGAAGUGGCCAUUUUACGGAGACAAGGACCUGCUGAGGGGGAUCGCCUCACUCCGUUUUACGGAGACAAGGACCUGCUGAGGGGGAUCGCCUCACUCCGUUUUACGGAGACAAGGACCUGCUGAGGCGGAUCGCCUCACCCAUCUCCCGCCGGCUGUGUCCCCAAAGUCCUGCCUUCCCGUAGCUUGGCAUGGAGCACCUCUGCGCGACCAUGGACCUGCUCACGCAGCCCUUCUGCAUGCCGUGGGAGCUGCCUCUCUGUGACUCGCCCCUGGACCCACCUCCCUACUGCCUUUCACAGAAAACUUCUCACACACUCCCAUUUUCUCAUCCUGCCCUGAUUGAGUCCCCGACUCCCCCGGAAACUGCCCUUACCCGUCCCUACCUUGCCAGACACGGUGGGCCACUGGAGUUCCUCUGUCUUCUGGGACUUUGCUCUCCCCGGGGGAUCCUCUGCCACUCCUCCACCCAACUCCUCAAUCUUGGAGCACCAGAGCUCAGCCGAGCUCACCGGCUCCCUAGGGAGCCAGGGCAACUGUUAGCUCCUCCCGACCUCUGUGCUCUUAUGUCCAGUGGCUGCCCCCGACCUCUGUGCUCCUAUGUCCAGUGGCUGCUGCCCCUCAAACUUAAUGUUUUCAUCGUAGAACUUUCUAUUCCUCUCCUUGCCAGUUUGCUCCUGUCCCCAUCUGCCUCCUGCAAGUCUGCUCUGUUCCACCUUCAGGACACAUCCCCAGGCCGUUUACUGCUCCCAUCCUGGGUGGUCUGGCCACUGCCAUCCUCAGUCCUCACCUGAGGCUCCACUCCCAGGCUGUCCUCUCCCUCAAAGCUCAAAGCCUCUUCAAGCUUCCCUGCACACCAGAACAGCCUCAGUUCCACCCAAGGCAUGCAUACAGCCCCACCCGCCCACUCCUAUUUCAGGGCGUUUGCACGUCGCACUGUUGGAAUGCUGCCCCACGUCUGUGCCACUCACUGGACCCAGUGUCUUGCCACAACCCAAUCUCCAUCUUCUUACCCACAACACUGGUCCCUUCCUGCCACUACAUCACACUGAGUGUGGGCUGGUCCACCUGCUACAAAUGGUCAGGCUGGAAGGAUACCAGAGACCCCCCCGAAGCCUGGCACCCAUCAAGGGCUAAGGACGCCCACAAUUUGUCCAGCAUGGAGGAAGCAGCAGGGCUCAGCUGUGCUUUUUUUUUUCUUUUGAGACGGAGUUUCGCUCUUGUUGCCCAGGCUGGAGUACGGUGGGGUGAUCUCAGCUCACUGCAACCUCCGCCUCCCGGGUUCAAGCAAUUCUCCUGCCUCAGGCUCCCGAGAAGCUGUGAUUAUGGGUGCCCGCCACGACGCCUGGCUGAUUUUUGUAUUUUUAGUAGAGACGGGGCUUCGCCAUGUUGGCCAGGCUGGUCUUGAACUCCUGACCUCAGGUGAUCCACCCGCCUCUGCCUCCCACAGUGCUGGGAUUACAGGCGUGAGCCACUGCGCCCGGCUGGGUGAGCCAUACCUUUAGUGGUUUCCACUUCUUCUAGUAACACCUGGGAGAUAUAGUGGAUGCUCCUCAGGUAUUCCAUGUAUGCCUCCUGUGUCCAGGAAAGAGAAACAGUGGGUUCAGGCCAGUGGAGGGAAGUGACUCCAUUAUUCCUGCCAGGUGCCCUUGUGGGAUAUGCAAGGACCACCACCACCUGCUUAUCUCUGAGAUACACCCAGAGACACUGAGCCUGCAGUGGUUAGCUGCAGCCAGAACACGGUUUUCUGCCCGGGGCACAGGCAGCAUCGCUGCUCUCCAGACUUGGAAAAGACAUCAGGACCUGAGAGAGAGAGAGCCAGGGACGAGCUGGACGUCAUUUUCUCCUCUCACUGCCUUUCUCUCCAGCACAGGAACUGAUAUUCUCAUUCAGUGGGCCUGGGGAAAUGACCUCAGCAGUUUGCUGUCAUUUCUCAUUCUAUGCAACGUUUCCUUCUUGUGCAACUCAAGGGUGAUUCAUUCAGUGGCUUAAAAAAAUACUUCCUGAGAGGAUAAAGGGAGUGAUAGUGGAA